GACCUCAGCCGGGGGGAAAGAGUCACACUCACAGGCCUAACACCAUUCAAAUGUGCAGUAAAAAGACAGUCCCUGCACCAGAAAAUGAAUUGUCUAUGUUUAUACCAAGGCACAAGGCACAUGAAACAGAAGAACUAGGUGGAUGGCAAUGGAAUGAAGCAAUAGUAAAGCAAGCAUGUUUUUGCAUAAGCAGUAGUCUCAGCUUGCCACUUGCCUAACCACUGUCAGAUGACAGGGUUCUGUAAGCAUGAUGGGAGAUGGAGGUACAAGAUGAGACAAGCUAUGAGCAUUGAAUUACCAGAAAUCCUCCCAACCCUAUACAAACAUAUCAGUCACAUAGAGAACUGGAAACACAGAAAUCAACCACACUGCCUUACACCACAGACUAUUUCUAAUUCCAUUUUGUAACCUGGUAUAGCAUAUUGAAAAUUGAGUUAAAAUGAUCAAAUAUCACUUUACAUUUCAGGGGCGAGGAGGGAAGGGGGAUUCCUGGUCCUGCUUGCAGGCAAGGAGGCCCCAUAAUGAAGCACGUGAUCAGGGUCUUUCAAGAAGCAUUCUGCAAAAAGCCAGCCUAAAGCAUAGUGUGCAUGAGGUAUCCGGGAUUACCAGGCACACAGCAGAUGAAAAACUAUAAGCCUCUUUCAGCUAAUAUUUUCUCAAAAGAAGAAAAACCAUUUAAUUUCUUUUGAAAAUUAUAGUCUCCAAAAGUGCAGCAUAAAUUACUACUAAUCUCUAUUAAUCAUUAUCAAGCAGAAAUAGAUAAUAUAUCACAUGAUCUGCCACUAAGUGGAGGAAAUCUACAAAGCAAGUGAGUUUCACUAAUAUGUACAUUUGUUGGGCCCAAUUCUGCCUAGAUGUUGCUUUCGGGGGCAUGUUAGAUAAACUGAGUUGAGGAGGAGUGUUGGGUGCUGUUUUUCUGCUCUAUCAACUCCACUCCAAACUUUAUUUCUGUGCUUUCUACAAGCUUUUUAUGAUCAGAGCAGCAUUUUAGUGUAUACGCUGAGUAAUGUGUGUAUUUCCCCCGAUAUUAUAAUCUUGACAGGAAGAAGGGUGAGUUAAAAAAAAUAUGGACUGGCAAACACCCAUGACCAGAGAACUAAAGACAUUGAUGAAAUCAAAGUCAUUAAAGAUGAAAGUGGAAGCAUGUUAGUCAAUGAGAACCAGAUUAAGAAACAGUGGAGAAGUUACUUUGAAAGGUUUUGAAAAGAAUCCAAGAAAACCAUGGAUGUAUAAUAAAAACCAAACCUGCGUCUGGUGAUAACAGUCCUAGAAGUUAGAGAAGCCUUGAGCAACAUGAAAAAUAAGAAAGCUCUUGGUCCCAAUGGCAUACCAGCAGAAAUAUGGAAAACCUGGGGCUAGUAAACAUGUACAUAUUGAAAUAAUUAUUUACUUUCAUCAUAAAGACUGAAGAUGAUGCCUAGAAAAAAAGCACAUUAGUACCAAUAUUUAAAAGAAAAAAAAGACAUACAAGACUGUGGAGUAUCCAUACAAUGAAGCAUUAGCAUGUGGUGAUCUGGACAAGCAGUGCACUGAACCAACAACAGACCUGGCUGCACGAACUCCAGCAAGUUAACUGGGGAAGAGACAGCCUGGCUUUACCCAAAGAAAAGGUGCAAGGGGUAAGUUCGGAAGCUGAGAAAGCGCAAGCAUGGCUCAGUCUCUACUGAAUUCGUUUUCCGCCAAAGGGAGCUUUUGCAUUGUUCUGAGAUUUUGAGGGGCUUGGGUGGUUCCUGCAUUACAUGUCAGGGAAGGUGGAGCGGCUGGAGGAGUUUAAGAGUUUUAGGAGUCAGGGAACUGGCUUAUUUAUUGAUGUUUAUUAAUUACUGGUUAGCCUUUACCCUUUCCUUUGCUGGAUCUUAUUUUCCUGUGCCCAAUCAAGUCCCUCCUCUGUUGUGCUGUUAUUGUUGUGCCAUGCAUUUGGUGAUGUUUGUUUUGUUUACCUUGUUGUCAUGUGUGUCCAGGGCUUUACAUUCCUUGCCAGCUAGUAGUAACUGAAGUGAUUUCUCAAGGGACAGCUCCCUUGUGUAUCAGGCACAGCGAGGUGUCACUUUGAGUGGAGGCACAUAGGUACUAAGAAAAAAACUCAGGACCGGAGCCACACAUGGGGAGGGGAGAAGCUGCUCCAAAUGCUAGGUAGUAGGCACCAGAGAGAGAAACAGGAGGAGGCUUAAGCCACAACUUGGGAAAGUGGCUACAUAUAUGUGAAAAUAUCACUGUUGCCACCAGUCUGAGACCGUCAGAACUGAGACCAUGUGAUAAGUGCAAAACUCAACCUGGAGGCAAUAGCCCAUUUAAAAUCUAAGUAAUUUUCUCAUUACUAAGCAUUAUGCGUAAUAUCCAUCUAGUCUGAAACGUAGAACUGAUCAUACAGAAUAGCUACAAUGAGACUGAUGUCAAUAGGGCUCCCAGCAAGUACAGAGUUGUAUUAGUACAUACUGAUAUAGGAUCAAGGCCUAAAACUGAGGCCUGAUGAUCAUGUCAGUCAUGUGUAUGCACCUCCCACAUAAAUUGAGGGUUGCACAUAUGCAAAUGAAAGGAUAGCAGCCUUUAAUCUACAGACUAUAAAAAGGAUCAAUUAACCCCAAACUGAAAUGUGGCAAUGUCUUGGUGCAAACCAAUGUAACGUAACUGUGCACAACAAUAAAGCAAAACAGUUUCUGCCAGGAAGAAAAUAGGGGAGACAAGGAAUUACCAGUCAACUGAGAUAAGCAGAAGGUGAUUGCCAAAAUCAUAAGAAUUUCUGUAGGAGACCAGCGCUAACACCUGCAACUUUUGUGAAAAUUCAACAGACUCUGCAAUAAAGAAUUUAAUCUUUAUUUUGCCUUCUACUUAUCUCCAAAGGAUGUAGUGUUACAGCUUUCAAAACACCUCAAAAUUCAUUGCACCGGUAAUAAGUUCUAUUUAUACAUAUUCUUGCAUGUAUAACAUUCAUUUCCCCCUUUCUUUCUGUGACAACACAUUGUUUUGUUAUCUAAUAAAGGCAAAGAGUCCAGUUAAUUUUGUAACGUUACUGACAGAUCAUCAGAAGAUAAAUUGUUAAAGUAAUGUGAAAGGGUGAGGUAUACAAAACUUAGUAUGCGGAAUA